GACGAACGCUGGCGGCGUGCCUAAUACAUGCAAGUUGAGCGCUGAAGGUUGGUACUUGUACCAACUGGAUGAGCAGCGAACGGGUGAGUAACGCGUGGGGAAUCUGCCUUUGAGCGGGGGACAACAUUUGGAAACGAAUGCUAAUACCGCAUAAAAACUUUAAACACAAGUUUUAAGUUUGAAAGAUGCAAUUGCAUCACUCAAAGAUGAUCCCGCGUUGUAUUAGCUAGUUGGUGAGGUAAAGGCGCACCAAGGCGAUGAUACAUAGCCGACCUGAGAGGGUGAUCAGCCACAUUGGGACUGAGACACGGCCCAAACUCCUACGGGAGGCAGCAGUAGGGAAUCUUCGGCAAUGGACGAAAGUCUGACCGAGCAACGCCGCGAGAGUGAAGAAGGUUUUCGGAUCGUAAAACUCUGUUGGUAGAGAAGAACGUUGGUGAGAGUGGAAAGCUCAUCAAGUGACGGUAACUACCCAGAAAGGGACGGCUAACUACGUG
rnacentral:rRNA from 1 species